rnacentral:snoRNA from 1 species
CUCCACAGCUACUGGUCUGGAACUGUUCAGAACCGUAACAGUUGCAGUAUUCCCUCUGUGGAAGAUAAACUGUUACAUGGCAGUAAGCUCCUUCUCACAUCCUCUGUAAAGGACUCCCUAUGUAACAAACAAUG